rnacentral:lncRNA from 1 species
UCUGAAUCAAGCUCUAUCAGACCGAGCCCCGCUCUCCUCAUUCCCAUUGAAUUCCAUCACACUCCAUAAGCAUCUUAUCAAGAGCUACAGGAGGCCCUAACAGCUUGACAUGAAAUUUCUCUAAGUGCUCCUUUCUAGGGAGCUGCAGGCACGAAGAGGAGCUGAAUGCCUCCCAACCCCUCACCAAACACCACUCAGAGAGAAGGGCCACACCACUUUGCUCGAGUGCAGGUAGGAGUGAUGCUCCAUCGGGACAAAGGAGCUCGUUAUGGAGCAGGGCUCAGCGCUGCCCCAAGGGUUAAUUAGCAGCAUCCUUUGCCUUUGGAGGUGUUCAUCUAAGUGCUUCCUUGGUGAGGGGCAGCCCGUCUUUGUUGCCUGGAUACAGCCGUGCUGGGGGGGUUGGGGUUGGUACCUGGAGCUUCGUUAGGGAGGAUGGCAGCAGGAGCUGAGAUCUGACUGCGAUGUAAAUGAUCACCCGGGGCAGCCCCGAGGCAGAGCGGCUGCCUGUUACCAUCAGCCACACAUCACAUCCAAGAGCUGACAAGACAAAUAAGGAUGAAUGAACCCUGAAUCAGACAUCAAUAACUGCCUGACAUUCCUGGAGAUCUCUGCAUGCUCCCUCGUUCAACCUUUACACCAAAGAAGAAUGACGUGAAAGGCAUCUGUGUUCAUCUGUUAAAACAGAUCCUCCAAACGCAUUCCCAUCGCCAUCGCGGUGCAAGAAGUGACUUGGAGCAAAAGCAGAACAAAAAGCCUUCUGUGCAAGAAUACAAUGAGUAAUGAACUUCAAGUCGUAUCUGCACGAAGGAUUGCCGAGAUGGGUAUUGUUUUUCCAUAUGACCUGUUUUUUCCUAAUGAUUGUGUUUCUCCUGGCUCUGAUUCUAUAAACAGCAGCACCUCUCCCCUUUGCUUGCUUAAGAGGAGGUUUGUUUAAUCUUUGACAUUUCCUAUCUCACAGGGUUCUUCGCAAGCGUCGCACAAUAGAGCCUUGUUGGUCUCAGUUUAAUUAAACACAAUUACUUUGCUUUAUGUAGCAGAGGAAGUGACACUUUAAAAAGUUCCAGCUCGGUCCCUUUUCUACUUGAGAAAGCAGCACAGCGUCAGUGAAUAAUUAAAACAUACACGUCGUCAGAAUUAAUUAGCGUCUCAAUGCUUUCAAGUG